AUUGAACGCUGGCGGCAUGCUUUACACAUGCAAGUCGAACGGUAACAGGCCUUCGGGUGCUGACGAGUGGCGAACGGGUGAGUAAUGCAUCGGAACGUACCCAGAGGUGGGGGAUAACGCAGCGAAAGCUGUGCUAAUACCGCAUGUGAUCUGAGGAUGAAAGCGGGGGACCGAGCAGCAAUGUUUGGCCUCGCGCCUUUGGAGCGGCCGAUGUCGGAUUAGCUAGUUGGUGGGGUAAAGGCCUACCAAGGCGACGAUCCGUAGCUGGUCUGAGAGGAUGACCAGCCACACUGGGACUGAGACACGGCCCAGACUCCUACGGGAGGCAGCAGUGGGGAAUUUUGGACAAAGGGCGCAAGCCUGAUCCAGCAAUGCCGCGUGCGGGAAGAAGGCCUUCGGGUUGUAAACCGCUUUUGGCAGGAACGAAACGGUGUCCGCUAAUACCGGGCGCUAAUGACGGUACCUGCAGAAUAAGCACCGGCUAACUACGUG
rnacentral:rRNA from 1 species